GACGAACGCUGGCGGCGUGCUUAACACAUGCAAGUCGAACGGUGAGGCCCUUCGGGGUACACGAGUGGCGAACGGGUGAGUAACACGUGGGUGAUCUGCCCUGCACUUCGGGAUAAGCCUGGGAAACUGGGUCUAAUACCGGAUAGGACUCCGGACUGCAUGGUCUGGGGUGGAAAGCUUUUGCGGUGUGGGAUGGGCCCGCGGCCUAUCAGCUUGUUGGUGGGGUGAUGGCCUACCAAGGCGACGACGGGUAGCCGGCCUGAGAGGGUGACCGGCCACACUGGGACUGAGAUACGGCCCAGACUCCUACGGGAGGCAGCAGUGGGGAAUAUUGCACAAUGGGCGCAAGCCUGAUGCAGCGACGCCGCGUGAGGGAUGACGGCCUUCGGGUUGUAAACCUCUUUCAGCACAGACGAAGCGCAAGUGACGGUAUGUGCAGAAGAAGGACCGGCCAACUACGUGCCAGCAGCCGCCGCGG
rnacentral:rRNA from 1 species